rnacentral:rRNA from 1 species
GAUGAACGCUGGCGGCGUGCCUAAUACAUGCAAGUCGAGCGAACAGACGAGGAUCUUGCUCCUCUGACGUUAGCGGCGGACGGGUGAGUAACACGUGGAUAACCUACCUAUAAGACUGGGAUACCUUCGGGAAACCGGAGCUAAUACCGGAUAAUAUAUUGAACCGCAUGGUUCAAUAGUGAAAGACGGUUUUGCUGUCACUUAUAGAUGGAUCCGCGCCGCAUUAGCUAGUUGGUAAGGUAACGGCUUACCAAGGCAACGAUGCGUAGCCGACCUGAGAGGGUGAUCGGCCACACUGGAACUGAGACACGGUCCAGACUCCUACGGGAGGCAGCAGUAGGGAAUAUUCCGCAAUGGGCGAAAGCCUGACGGAGCAACGCCGCGUGAGUGAUGAAGGUCUUCGGAUCGUAAAACUCUGUUAGUAGGGAAGAACAAAUGUGUAAGUAACUAUGGACGUCUUGACGGUACCUAAACAGAAAGCCCCGGCUAACUACGUG